rnacentral:misc_RNA from 1 species
UUAAGUUCAGCGGGUAUUCCUACCUGAUCCGAGGUCAACCUUGAGAAAACUGGGGUGUUUUACGGCAGGGGACCGGCACAACCGUAGGCGAGACAAUACAAGAUAUUUACUACGUCUAGAGUGUGUAACCGACUCCGCCACUAACUUCGAGGAGCUACAUCGCUGUAGGCUCCCAACACUAAGCAGCAGGGGCUUAAGGG